CGCUUUCGGCCAGCUCGGCAGGAGGAGUGGGCCGCCCCCUGCUCCGGUCCCGGGCCGGGCCGCCGGCUCCGCUCCCCGGCAGAGGCGCCGCCCGCGCUCUCCUCGCCCCGCGCCGAGCGGGACCCGCCGCGUUCGCGAACAGCGCGGGCGCCGCCUCCCGCGGAGGGAGCCGGGCAGCGGGGCCGGCAGGCGGCGCCCCCGGGCUCGGACCGCAGCUGCCAUGGGCCCCAGUGGGAGGGCGCGCGGUGCGGGGGGGGCACCCGCUGCCUCAGGGCAUCUCCCGGACUCCUGGAAUGGUUUGGGUCAGGAGCAACCAUCCAGUUCUAAGCUCCCCACCGUGGGAGGCAGCGUUAGGGACACCUACAUGGAUCACGUUGCUCAAAGCCGCAUCCAGCCUGGCCUUGAGCUCCUCCAGGGCUGGGGCAUCCAUGACUUCUCUGAGCAACCCGUGCUAGUACCUCACCACCCUCCCGGGAAAGAAUUUCCUCCUUAUCUCUAUAAUCCAAAUCUCCCCUCUUUCAUCUUCAAACUGUUCCCCCUUGUCCUAUCCCUGUGCUCCCUGCUAAAGAGUCCCUUCCCAUCUUCCCCGUAGCCCUUUCAGGUACUGGAAGGUCGCUCUACCAUUUCCUUGGAGAGAUAAUGAUUACCAAUGUUUAGCCUUCUAUGACAAAGUGACUCAACUACUGGAUGAGGGAAAGGCUGUGGCUGUAGUCUUCUUGGACUUCCUUAAAGCCUUUGACAUAGUUUCUCACAGCAUUCUGCUUCAGAAACUGUCAACCUCUGGCCUGGACAGGUGCACACUCUCCUGGGUUGAAAACUGGUUGGAUGGCCGGGCCCAGAGAGUGGUGGUCAAUGGAGCUGGAGGCCAGUCACAAGUGGGGUUCCCCAGGGCUCAGUACUGGGUCCAGUCCUGUUCAAUGUCUUUAUUGAUGACCUGGAUGAAGGCCAGGUACACCCCUAGCAAGUUUGCAGAUGACACUAAGCUGGGUGGAAGUGUGGAUCUGCUGGAGGGUAGGGAGGCUCUGCAAAGGGAUUGGAAGGGGCUGGACUGCUGGGCUGAGGCCAAUGGCAUGAGGUUCAACAAGGCCAAAUGUCGGGUCCUGCACUUGGGGCAUAACAACCCUAUGCAGUGCUACAGACUAGGAGAAGUGUGGCUAGAAAGCUUCCUAGAGGAGAAGGACCUGGGGGUGCUGGUUGACAGCCGACUGAACAUGAGCCAGCAGUGUGCCCAGGUGGCCAAGAAGGCCAAUGGCAUCUUGGCUUGGAUCAGAAACGGUGUGACCAGCAGGUCCAGGGAGGUGAUUCUCCCUCUGUACUCAGCACUGGUCAGACCGCACCUUGAGUACUGUGUUCAGUUCUGGGCCCCUCACCACAAGAAGGUUGUUGAGGCUCUGGAGCAUGUCCAGAGAAGAGCAACGAAGCUGGUGAGGGGGCUGGAGAACAAGUCUUAUGAGAAGUGGCUGAGGGAGCUGGGGUUGUUUAGCCUGGAGAAGAGGAGGCUGAGGGGAGACUUUAUUGCUCUCUACAACGACCUGAAAGGAGAUUGUGGAGGGGUGGGAGCUGGCUUCUUCUCCCAAGUGACAGGGUACAGGACAAGAGGGGACAGCCUCAAGCUCCACCAGGGGAGGUUCAGGCUGGACAUCAGGAAAAAAUUUUUUGUGGAAAGAGUCAUUGGGCACUGGUACAGGCUGCCCAAGGAGGUGGUUGAGUCAUCUUCCCUGGAGGUGUUUAAGGGACAGGUGGAUGAGGUGCUGAGGGGCAUGGUUUAGGGAUUGCUAGGAAUGGUUGAACUCGAUGAUCCAGUGGGUCCUUUCCGCCCUAGUGAUUCUAUGAUUCUGUGGUCAAAAGUCAGAGCAGACUUGAAAAAACAAAUAUCCUUUGCUGAGCCUUCCUGCGCAUGGUCUUUGUGCAUCCUUUUGAAAACAAGUCGUACAGUUUUAUACUGGCACACUGUGUGUUCCAACUGUGUCGACGGCGAGGGAAGCAAGCGGACAACUCAGUGUGAGUGAUAAAGCAAGCUUCAACUUUAUUCAAAAUCAGCCUGGAUUAUAUACCCUAACAUUCAAAAGAUGCUUUGUGCUUUAUAAUUUGUUACACCUUAUACAUGAUUAGUUACUUAAAACUAUUUGUUCUCUAUUGAUUCAUUGUCCUUUGUUAAUUCAUUAAUACUAUGUUGCUACUUCGAGUUCCGUUUAUCUACUUGCAGUUAUAUUACAGUUGCAGCUGGGCUUGGUGCUCCAUCCUGUUCCCUUGGGAAAGAUUCACUUGUCCUUCAGAAGUUUCUUCUUAGAGAUUCCUCCUUGUAUGCCUUCUUGUUCUUUCAGUCCAUAUCUUCACUCAAAGUUUAACAAGGUUUCCACUUACACAAUACGUGUCUCACAAAGCUUUUCUGUUAAAUCAUGUCCUUGUUCACUUAACCAUUCCUCGAUCCAUUUUUCAACAUUCUCAUGUCCUUUUUCACUUAACCAUUUCCCAACACAACUGGAUACAUCUGCAAAGAUCCUGUGUACAUUAAAUUCGUGAAAAGGAAGCAGCUUUUACAAAAAAAGGUUUGGAAUGCUGUAAGGAAAGGUUCAGUUUAGAUCUCACGAGUGGAGUUCUUCCCUGGAGAAGACAAAAUAUCAAUAUUAAAUUAGUGAGCUGUCAGACGGUAGAAGACUUAUAUGACAAUGUUGACCAAGAGGAUAACACUAAUGAAGAUUUGUUCUGAUGUCUGUGUCUUCUAAGCAGUGAAUGCUGUGACAUCUCCUUACACCAGCAUCUUGAUCUUUUCUUGGCUGGUGAAUACAUACGGUCGGGAAAAAACAUCUAUUUAUUUGGGCGUUUGAGCUUAAUCGCUGGUACGAUGCUGAAAUGCCAGAUUCAAUAAGAUGGAGUGUGCUUGCUGAGCUCUGGAGUCAUCCAUGUGACUUGCACCGGUUUCCAGAAGGAGG